rnacentral:rRNA from 1 species
GAUGUACGCUGGCGGCGUGCCUAAUACAUGCAAGUCGAGCGAACAGACGAGGAGCUUGCUCCUCUGACGUUAGCGGCGGACGGGUGAGUAACACGUGGAUAACCUACCUAUAAGACUGGGAUAACUUCGGGAAACCGGAGCUAAUACCGGAUAAUAUAUUGAACCGCAUGGUUCAAUAGUGAAAGACGGUUUUGCUGUCACUUAUAGAUGGAUCCGCGCCGCAUUAGCUAGUUGGUAAGGUAACGGCUUACCAAGGCGACGAUGCGUAGCCGACCUGAGAGGGUGAUCGGCCACACUGGAACUGAGACACGGUCCAGACUCCUACGGGAGGCAGCAGUAGGGAAUCUUCCGCAAUGGGCGAAAGCUUGACGGAGCAACGCCGCGUGAGUGAUGAAGGUCUUCGGAUCGUAAAACUCUGUUAUUAGGGAAGAAUAAAUGUGUAAGUAACUAUGCACGUCUUGACGGUACCUAAUCAGAAAGCCACGGCUAACUACGUG